AACGAACGCUGGCGGCAUGCCUAACACAUGCAAGUCGAACGAGACCUUCGGGUCUAGUGGCGCACGGGUGCGUAACGCGUGGGAACCUGCCCUUAAGUUCGGAAUAACUCCCCGAAAGGGGUGCUAAUACCGGAUAAUGUCUUCGGACCAAAGAUUUAUCGCCUUUGGAUGGGCCCGCGUUGGAUUAGCUAGUUGGUAGGGUAAAAGCCUACCAAGGCGACGAUCCAUAGCUGGUCUGAGAGGAUGAUCAGCCACACUGGGACUGAGACACGGCCCAGACUCCUACGGGAGGCAGCAGUGGGGAAUAUUGGACAAUGGGCGAAAGCCUGAUCCAGCAAUGCCGCGUGAGUGAUGAAGGCCUUAGGGUUGUAAAGCUCUUUUACCCGGGAUGAUAGUGACAGUACCGGGAGAAUAAGCUCCGGCUAACUCCGUG
rnacentral:rRNA from 1 species